CGGCCCAUGAAUAUUUCCCGCGAAUGUAAAAGUCUUUGAUAAUGGCUGUGACGUGUUUGUAACAAGCUCAGCCAUUUCAGCUGGAGAAACUAGCAGAUGUCUUCCAGAGCUGGAGAGGAGACUCUGCUUACCCACUGCUCCCAUGGCUCCUCACACCUGUACCCCUCAGCACCUGCAGAACUUCGGUACAAUGAUGCACAUGGGGGUACAAGGAAUGUGAUCGAGGGGACCUUUGGUUUACUAAAGAUGCAUUUGAGGUGCUUGGAUAAGUCGGGAAGUGCACUUCAGUACAGUUCCAAGAAGGUGUGCCGCAUCACGACUGCUUGCUGCAUCCUCCACAAUAUUGCAGUAAGAAGAAGGGUGUUCGAUGUGCACCAAGACGUGGCUUACCCCACAGUAGAUGACCCAGCAGGUCGUGAAGAAAGAAAUCGCAUAAUGCAUACAUACUUUACAUAGGUGAAAAGAAAAA